UCCCUGGUGGCUCAGACAGUAAAGAAUCUGCCUGAAAUGCAGGAGACCCGGGUUCGAUCCCUGGGUUGGGAG
rnacentral:tRNA from 1 species